AUGAGACAGGGGAAUGGAGCCUGUGCUGCAGGUGUUGCCGUCUCGCUGGCCUUUCCUGGGCCGCCGCUGCCGGCCGUCACUCUUGGUUCCCAGGAUGGCUCUCGGGAAGGGUACCUGGGUGGUCCCCGGCGGCAGGCGGGGCCCAGAACCACACAGCUCCGUUGUUCACUGAAGGCCUUCAGAGUGUUCUGCGCAGGCUGGGAUGGGGGCGGCAGCUGCCUCAGUGGAGAAUGUGAAUCUUUGGCUUCUCAGCCUUGCCCCUGGCUCUGCUUUGGGGCCUUUGCUUCUGGGCAUGAGCCCCCCUGCCCCCGACCUCCAGUCCAGCAGGAAGAGUGGGCACCACUGGCCAGAACGUCGGCUCUGGAGGCAGAAAGCUUGAGUCUGGAUCUCGGUCCUGCCACGCCGUAGCUAUGUGGCUGGGGAAUGCAUAUCUUCUGGAUCACCGAUCCCUGCAGUAAAAUGCAGAUAAAAAUACUUUUCACUGAUGUGUUCGGAAUCGAAUGAGAUAGCUAAUGAAUGAGUAAGUGCUUUGCAAACUCCAGAUGGGGUGUAUGUUCUGAUCUGUUUUAUCGAAUCUGACACACACCCUCUCCCACCCCAGCGUCUCUGAAUCAGGACGUGUCUGACAGUGAGUGUGGCAUUCGGGCUGCAGUUGCCUCUGUCUGCUCACAUGUGAAUUAAAAAAACCAUGUCAGUUCUAAUCACGCGUGAACGUGGUGGUUAUUCCUGGUGCCGUGUGGACAGCUGCAGCCUUGACACCCCAGUCUACAAACCAUGUACGGACCAACUGAGGAAGGAGUAGAGGUUCUUGUUGUUGUAGAAGACCCUCCCUCAACUUCUAGAAAAUGCCAGCAUUCUUCAGACUUGGAAUGGGCAUCAGCAGCUUGGAAGACAUAGCAGUGGGCCCUCUUAGCAGGAGCGCCCAUGUCAUGGCUCCUGACGACCCAGAGGAUGACGCUGCAUGGGCUCAGGGACAUCAGCGCCAUGAGUCAGGGGGGCUCAGGUGACAAGGGCUCUGAUGGUGAGGACAUCCAGAAGUAAGAGAGACCAGAUGGGUGCGAUGGCACCUGUAAUCCAGGCACUUUGGGAGGCUGAGGCAGGUGGAUCACUGGAGGUCAGGAGUUUGAGACCAGCCUAACCAACAUGGAGAAACCCCCUCUCUACUAAAAAUACAAAAAUUGGCCAGCAUAGUGGCAUGUGUCUGUAUUCCCAGCUACUGGGGAGGCUGAGGCAGGAGAAUCACUUGAACCUGGAAGGUGGAGGUUGCAGUGAGCUGAGAUCACGCCACUCACUCCAGCCUGGGCAACAGAGCAAGACUCUCUCCAAAAAAAAAAAAAAAAGAGAAAUAACAGAGACAAACUUAUUUUACUUAUGCUUUCCUUUUUUCUGUAUGUAUAAUGAAGGAAAUUAGGAUGAAAAAAAAAACCCUUCUAAGCCUAUAAGAAUUUUUUAAGUAAUUUUUUUUAAGAGACAGGGUCUCACUCUGUGACCCAGGCUGGGGUGCAGUGGUGCGAUCCAAGUUCACUAUAGCCUCCAACUCCUGAGUUCAAACGAUCCUCCCUUACUGGCCUCCCAAAGCAUAAUAAAAUUUAAAUACAAUUAUAGAUAAUAAGAAAGCAUUGUGUUAAAGUUUAAUUGGAAGCAUUUUAAAUUCUUUCUUACUGGUUCAUUAGAUAAUAAUCUUUGCCUUUGAUUUGAUGAACUGAGUGCUUUAUUCCAGGCAGAUGCAGACAGACCUGAGUUCCAGUUUUAACCUCAGCUCUGCAGGUAAACAGUGGCAUGAACCUGACUGCAUUGCCUGGUCCUUCCGAGCUUCGGUUUCCUUAUCUGGCAGAGGGGCUGUAUCUAUUCUGGUUCUCUGGGUUGCAGGUGAUGAGGAGAAAAAACCCUAAUUGUCUGAAGCCAAAGAAAGGACUUCAGAUCUGGUAACUGCAAGUGGGGCUUAGCCUCCCUCUCUGGUCCUUGUCACCUCCUUGUGGGCUUCAGUCUCGAGUUCCAGGUUGGAGCAAGACAUGGCCAAAGCCCAGGGCCUGCAUCCUCCCAGAUUCCAGCCACCUGGGAGCACGUUUGUGGUCCCUGCUCUCUGAUGGGGUCCCCUGCUCUGCCAUUGGUGCCAGGGGACUGCCGGGGCUGAUGGGUCAGGCCUGCACUGGAGCUUGGUGGAGUCGGCUUCAUCCUGAGGUUACUCCUCUGCCAGAGGGGUAUGGGUGGUCCCCAGGGUAGGGAAAGUGUGCUGGGUGCCCUUCUGUGACAAGGCAUGUGUCACACGCAUGGCACCAGGACAGACACAUACUCACAGAAGGGGCUCGACAGGCUGAAUUCUCCUUUCCCUCCUUUUCUCUCAUGUCCACUCUUUGGAGCUAACUAGUCCAAGUUGGAGGGUGCACAGGCAAAUGGGGGUGCUGGCAUUCCAAAGGGGGCCUGAUACAGUUUGGCUGUGUCCCCACACCUGGAAUUCCCACGUGCUGUGGGAGGGAGCUGGUGGGAGGUGAUUAAAUCAUGGGGGGGGUCUUUCCCAUGCUGUUCUCAUGAUAGUGAAUUAGUCUCAUGAGAUCUGGUGGUUUUUAAGGGGGGGGUUCCCCACACAAGCUCUCUCUUUGCCUUCUGCCAUCCAUGUAAGAUGUGACUUGCUUCUCCUUGCCUUCCACCAUGAUUAUGAGGCCUCUCUGGCCACAUGGAACUAUAAGUCCAUUAAACCUCUUUCUUUUGUAAAUUGCCCAGUCUCAGGUAUGUCUUUAUCAGCAGCACGAAAAUGGACUAAUACAGGGCCCCUUUGCAAACAGCGAAGGAGCCUCACGUCCCAC
ensembl:lncRNA